AAAAGCAAGCCAGGAGGUGCUGUGCUGCUUCUAGUAGUUUCCAGGCGCUGCCAGGCGGCUGGGACCGAGCGGUCCUCAGGCUGUGGCUGCGGCUGCUUGGGAGCUGGUAGCGGUGCGAUAAGUGAGCUGAUGGCCAAGUGGGGUGAGGGAGACCCACGCUGGAUCGUGGAGGAGCGGGCGGACGCCACCAACGUCAACAACUGGCACUGGUAUGGGCCAGCAAGACAGGCCGCAGGAGCACUGUUAACAGGCUAGGGGUUGGAGGUGUCUGGGACCUUGGCGAGUACGGGACCCAAGUAACCCUGGCCUGGGGUUGGGCGUGAGUCCUUUCUGUAGCAGGGGUCCCCUCCAUCCCUCGCCACCAUCACAGUCUUAGGGGCGAUGGGUUCGACAUGGACUGCUGAGUCCCCAAGGAGGAAUUUCAGAGCGAGAACAGAGUGCCCUAGUUGCUGCAUCCAGCCUGAGCCGGGUGAUACUUCCUACACGUGGCCGCAGGCGUCCUUGAGAUCCAGACCCCUGCCGAUUGUGUUGGGAGUCUGCUGGGGAAUUCGAGAGCUCCAGGCGCGGUAGUUGUUGGUUUGCGGGUUACAGUGAAAGCAAAAGUCAUAGGGGACUACUGCCUCAGUCCAGCGUGAGAAGCUUUGGAACGUGAUCUGCAGGGCACUUGGAGCUUCGGGAUGCUGAACGCAAUGCAGUCUCCUACCCGGAACUGUUAAGUUCUGUUGUAACAACUCCAGGUUGCCCGGCAGUCAUGAUUUUACAGCCUAACCGGUCUUGGAAGCUGCCUCAUCUCUCAGAAAUCUUCUGGAAACAAAGUUAUUUGGAGUGCCACUGAACUUUACAGACAUUAUAUUUUUUUUCCUCAGUUAUAGCUUUUUGAUUUUUAAAUAGCUGUACUAGAAGGGCAAAGAAUUGAUUUUUACCGUCUUUUUUUUCCCCCUUCAACCUGUCUCUUUUUAACAUUCUACUUGAUGUAAUUUUUCUUGUGGACUUUGUGACACUGUCUAGAGGAUGUAGGAUGUGUAGGGCAAAGUUUGAACACUGAACGGGACACAACACUGUUAAUGAGGCUAGCAUUAUUGUUGGUUUGUUUUGUUUUUUUAAACUGAAGUUCUUAGCAAAAAUGCUUGCUUGUCUUUGCUCUCCUGACUUAAGCAGUAUGGUCACAUCUUUCUUCUUGGCCAAAUGGGGGCGCCAUUUUAACGGUCAAGGCUCAUUGUGCUAAGACUGGAAAGUAUUAACUUGGUUUGCACAGCACCUCUCUUUGUUGACAACUCGCCACCCCUUUGGAUUCCUAAAAGUAGCAUGUUUGUGGACAUUCUAGGGUAGAAUUGAGAGGGUUGGGUUGUUUUCUGCCUCCUUUAACCUUGCAGUCACCUGCUGAAUGAAACAGUGCGUUCUCCUCUUGACUGCCAGCCCUUAGCGCUGCUUCUGUCUUGCAGGACAGAGAGAGAUGCUUCAAAUUGGUCCACAGAGAAACUGAAAACCCUGUUCCUGGCCGUUCGAGUAGAAAAUGAAGAGGGCAAGUGCGAGGUGACCGAAGUGAACAAGCUUGAUGGGGAGGCAUCCAUCAACAACAGGAAAGGCAAACUUAUCUUCUUCUAUGAGUGGACCAUCAAACUGAACUGGACAGGUAAGGCCUGCCAGGCUGCCAGGGAAGAGGUUAUAGCCCCGUUGCCAUAGCUCUGAUCCUUGCUGGAGAGGUUCUGAGCACUGACAAACUCUUGAAGAGAGAAGACGGUGUUGCUUUGAAGGCAAGCGGCAUUGGGCACUCAGUGGGACGCCAAAUGAAUUUAUCUGCUUGAUCUCGUCAGUUCCAUCAUUUGUCUCAUGAAUGAAUGAUUUUUAAAAGGGGGGGAUGUUUCUUUUAGCUUCAAUCACUUUCUACUUCCAGUGCAAAUCUUAUAUCACUGUACUAUCAUAGCUAAUUAUACAUCUGAUUUGGGGCUGUUUUACCAUCUUAUAAUUUAAUGUCCCUUCUGUAAUACCCCUAGGGGGGAGAAUUGGGCUGAAUGGAAUAUUUCCCAAGUGAGUAGUAAAGAUGAAAGUAGAUAGAUCUGUCUAUAAUUUUUGCUUUUUCAAUGUAUAUCUGAAGUAUUGUUACCUAGAAGGAACUAUAUAUAUCUUGUCUAGUCUCCUUUUUAUAUAAUACACUGAAAAACUGAGGCGUACAGACACAGAGUGAGUUUUGUCAUAGUUAACAUGUACCCUAAAACUUAGUCCACUAUGCAACAACAGUUACUCAAUUU
rnacentral:lncRNA from 1 species